AUACGGCAUAUAGUACAUUUCGGUUAUCAGAGUUGUGUAAUUU
rnacentral:guide_RNA from 1 species